rnacentral:rRNA from 1 species
UACGAAGGGGCUAGCGUUGCUCGGAAUCACUGGGCGUAAAGCGCACGGUAGGCGGCUUACUAAGUCAGGGGUGAAAUCCUGGAGCUCAACUCCAGAACUGCCUUUGAUACUGGUGAGCUUGAGUCCGGAAGAGGUGAGUGGAACUGCGAGUGUAGAGGUGAAAUUCGUAGAUAUCGUAAGGAAGACCAGUGGCGAAGGCGGGUCUCUGGACAGUUCCUGACGCUGAGGCACGAAGGUCAGGGGAGGCG